rnacentral:rRNA from 1 species
GGUUGAUCCUGCCAGUAGUCAUAUGCUUGUCUCAAAGAUUAAGCCAUGCAUGUCUAAGUACACACUUUGGUAAAGUGAAACCGCGAAUGGCUCAUUAAAUCAGCUACAAGUUAUUAGAUCGUACACUGUUACUUGGAUAACUGUGGGAAUUCUAGAGCUAAUACAUGCCGAGAGUCUCUGCUCUUCGGGGCAGAGCGCAGUUAUUAGACCAAAACCAGCCGUAUUCUUCGGGGUAGGCUCUUUUGGUGACUCUGGAUAACCUUCAGCCGAUCGCAUGGCCUCGUGCCGGCGACGUAUCUUUCAAGUGUCUGCCCUAUCAACUUUCGAUGGUACGUGAUAUGCCUACCAUGGUGAUAACGGGUAACGGGGAAUCAGGGUUCGAUUCCGGAGAGGGAGCCUGAGAAAUGGCUACCACAUCCAAGGAUGGCAGCAGGCGCGCAAAUUACCCACUCCCAGCUUGGGGAGGUAGUGACGAAAAAUAACAAUGCGGGACUCUAAGAGGCCCCGUAAUUGGAAUGAGUACGCCUUAAAUCGUUUAACGAGUAUCAAUUGGAGGGCAAGUCUGGUGCCAGCAGCCGCGGUAAUUCCAGCUCCGAUAGCGUAUAUUAAAGUUGCUGCAGUUAAAAAGCUCGUAGUUGGAUCUGGGGCUUGAGGUCGCUGUCUAUCGUUUCGGCGAUGACGGUGAUGCUCAGCUCUGCUUGCCGGUGACUGUUGCGGUGCUCUUCACUGAGCGCUGUAGCAGCACGGCACGUUUACUUUGAAAAAAUAAGAGUGCUCAAAGCGUGCUUGUCGCUUGAAUAAUGUUGCAUGGAAUAAUGGAAUAGGACCUCGGUUCUAUUUUGUUGGUUUUCGGAGCUUGAGGUAAUGAUUAAGAGGGACGAACGGGGGCAUUCGUAUUGCGGUGUUAGAGGUGAAAUUCUUGGAUCGCCGCAAGACGGACUACUGCGAAAGCAUUUGCCAAGAACGCUUUCAUUGAUUAAGAACGAAAGUCAGAGGUUCGAAGACGAUCAGACACCGUCCUAGUUCUGACCAUAAACGAUGCCGACCAGCGAUCCGUAGUGGUUGCUUAAUGGACCCUACGGGCAGCCUCCGGGAAACCAAAGUAUUUGGGUUCCGGGGGAAGUAUGGUUGCAAAGCUGAAACUUAAAGGAAUUGACGGAAGGGCACACCAGGAGUGGAGCCUGCGGCUUAAUUUGACACAACACGGGAAAACUCACCCGGUCCGGACACCGUAAGGAUUGACAGACUGAUAGCUCUUUCUUGAUUCGGUGGAUGGUGGUGCAUGGCCGUUCUUAGUUGGUGGAGUGAUUUGUCUGGUUAAUUCCGAUAACGAACGAGACUCUAGCCUGCUAAGUAGUGUUGCUAUUGUUAUAUGGUUGACACUUCUUAGAGGGACAAGUGGCAUUUAGCCACGCGAAAUUGAGCAAUAACAGGUCUGUGAUGCCCUUAGAUGUCCGGGGCCGCACGCGCGCUACACUGGAGAAGUCAGCGUGUGUUAUCCAAGACCGAAAGGACUGGGUAAUCCGUUGAACCUUCUUCGUGCUUGGGACUGUGGCUUGGAACUAUUCCACAUGAACGAGGAAUUCCUAGUAAUUGCAAGUCAUAAGCUUGCGUUGAUUACGUCCCUGCCCUUUGUACACACCGCCCGUCCUACUACCGAUUGAAUGGUUUAGCAAGGUCCUCGGAUCGUGGCCGUAGGGGCACGCAAGUGUUUCUGCGGUUUGCGAGAAGACGACCAAACUUGAUCAUUUAGAGGAAGUAAAAGUCGUAACAAGGUU